rnacentral:sRNA from 1 species
ACGCCCAUGGUUUCUACCACUGCAUCGAGUGUGAUACGAUAUUUAUCCACUCGAGACAGUUAAAUUUUCAAAUUUUAAACACGAAACUUGCCGAGCGAUUUAAAAUUUAACUGUCGAGAGUGGAUACAUAUCGUAUUUCACGAGAUUUGGUGGUAGAAUCUUUUUCUGU